CCUACGGGAGGCAGCAGUCGAGAAUCAUUCACAAUGGGGGAAACCCUGAUGGAGCGACGCCGCGUGGGGGAAUGAAGGUCUUCGGAUUGUAAACCCCUGUCAUGUGGGAGCAAAUUAAAAAGAUAGUACCACAAGAGGAAGAGACGGCUAACUCUGUGCCAGCAGCCGCGGUAAUACAGAGGUCUCAAGCGUUGUUCGGAAGCACUGGGCGUAAAGCGUGCGGAGGCUGUUUCGUAAGUCGUGAGUGAAAGGCGCGGGCUCAACCCGCGGACGGCACAUGAUACUGCGAGACUAGAGUGAUGGAGGGGGAACCGGAAUUCUCGGUGUAGCAGUGAAAUGCGUAGAUAUCGGGAGGAACACUCGUGGCGAAGGUGGGUUCCUGGACAUUAACUGACGCUGAGGCACGAAGGCCAGGGGAGCGAAAGGGAUUAGAUACCCCUGUAGUC
rnacentral:rRNA from 1 species